rnacentral:rRNA from 1 species
GGUACAACUCUCAGCAAUGGAUAUCUCGGCUCUUGCAUCAAUGAAGAACAUAGCGAAAUGUGAUACCUGGUGUGAAUUGUAGAGUCCUGCGAACCAUCGAGUCUUUGAAUGCAAGUUGCGCCCGAGGCUGCCAGGCCAAGGGUACGCCUGCCUGGGCAUCAUGC